AUACUCUCCUCCCUCUUCCCCCAACUCUCCAGAAUACUCUCCCUCUUCUCCCCAAUACUUUCCCUCUUCUCCUCAAUACUUUCCCUCUUCCCCCAACUCUCCAGAUUACUCUCCCUCUUCUCCCCAAUACUUCUCUCUUCUCCCCAAUACUCUCUCUCUUCCCCCAACUCUCCAUAAUACUCUCCCUCUUCCCCCAACUCUCCAGAAUACAUUUCCUUCUUCCCCUAACUCUCCAUAAUACUCUCCCUCUUCUGCCCAAUACUCUCCCUCUUCUCCCCAGUACUUUCCCUCUUCUCCCAACUCUCCAGAAUACUCUCCCUCUUCUCCCCAAUACUUUCCCUCUUCUCCCCAAUACUCUCCCUCUUCCCCCAGCUCUCCUCAAUACUCUCCCUCUUCUCCCCAAUACUCUCCCUCUUCCCCCAACUCUCCGCCCUCUUUUCCCCAAUACUUUCUUCAAUACUCCCCCUCUUCUCCCCAAUACUCUCUCUCUUCGCCCAACUCUCCUCAAUACACUCCCUCUUCUUUCCAAUACUCUCCCUCUUCCUCACAGUACUCUGACAUGGAGUCUACAGGCUCCAAUUCUCCAUCUCCCUCUCUCUCGUAUUCUCCUCUCUCUCCGUCUCCCUACUCUCCCCGUUCAUCCUAUGGUUAUUGAUUUUUUGUUUUUCUAUUAAAUUAAUAAUAUUUUGUAAUUUUUUUUAUGGUUUGAAAAUUUAAUUUUAGUUAUUUCUUAAAAAUAUUUUCCUUGUAAUCAGUGCUAUUAUGAAUUUUAAUAAGAAUUGUUUCUUUAUUUUCUCUCUGUUGUUCACUUCAGGGGUAUCAGCGUCUCAUGGAGGCAUACAUUUAGGACGCCCAACGUGCUCGCAAAUCUCAUGGCAAAUGACGGAGCCGACCUCACAAACUGUCUUGGAUGAACUACCUCUAAGCUAGCUGAUGGGCCUCUCUCAUUUUUGUUCACUACUCACAUACAUGUUGCAAAUAGGGUGUUAUAUAAUCCCUUGCGGAGCCAUCUCAUUGUUGUCACAGUAUUGGACUCCUUUUUGGCUUUUUUGUAAAGGAUUACCUUGCCCGUUAGGGUUCUAGUAGAUCCCAAUUUUUGUAAGGGACGCUAGACCCAACACCUGUGUUUACUUCUUUUUUUAUUCAAUGAAACAGUUUACUUUCUGAAAAAAAAAAAAAAUUAAUGUGCUUUGUCUCAACAUUUUGCAAUCUACUGAAAUACAAUGUUCUGAAAUUGAGUAUAAAUGGAAUUGUAGACAAGGAAAAUUGUCUAGAGCUUUGUUGUUUGUUUCUUACAUGACUGUAUUCAGCAAAAUUGGACCAAGGUUUGCAAGCAAUUAUACUUUAUCCUUUGAUAAUUGUAUGACCUGUUUUCUGUUUUGGGCAUUCUGUUUGUGCCUUUAGCAGUGUGAUGUGGUUCAUAUAAUUUGCAUCCAGUGGAGCCCAUGCCAUAUAUUUGUGGUGACAAAAUUGAAAUUAAGCUUUUGUUGCGUACUUCAUCCUAUUUUGAAAUCUUCAGGCUAGCAAAAUUUGUGGG
rnacentral:lncRNA from 1 species